GCUACAAGUAAACGUAAAGUAAGUACGGACGGGGCCCGCACAAGGCGGAGGAGCAUGUGGUUUAAUUCGAUGAUACGCGAGGAACCUUACCUGGGCUCGAACGUAAGAUGACUGUAGGUGAAAGCUUACAUCUCUUCGGAGCAUUUUACGAGGUGCUGCAUGGUUGUCGUCAGCUCGUGCCGUGAGGUGUCGGGUUAAGUCCCAUAACGAGCGCAACCCCUACCUUUAGUUGCCAUCAGGUUAAGCUGGGGACUCUAAAGGAACUGCCUACGCAAGUAGUGAGGAAGGCGGGGAUGACGUCAAAUCAGCACGGCCCUUACGUCCAGGGCUACACACGUGCUACAAUGGCCGAUACAGAGGGCAGCUACCUGGUGACAGGAUGCAAAUCUCCAAAGUCGGUCUCAGUUCGGAUCGGAGUCUGCAACCCGACUCCGUGAAGUUGGAUUCGCUAGUAAUCGCGCAUCAGCCAUGGCGCGGUGAAUACGUUCCCGGGCCUU
rnacentral:rRNA from 1 species